rnacentral:rRNA from 1 species
CAACGGGAUGAAUUAAGCGAGCGUACCAUGGAGUAGUGGAAGAAUCACCGCACACAACUCGGCUACUGGGAGUACUACGGUACACAGCCCUCAAUACUGGGUACGCGAGGCAGCUGGAGGCAAUAUUGGUCUAAUGGCAGGCGAACUCUGAAACCUGACUCAUGCCGCUGUGCAGGUAUGACGGUCCUAUGCGAUUGUAAACUGCUUUCGUACAGGAAGAAACCUCCCUACUAGUGGGGACUUGACUGUACUGUAAGAAUAAGGAUCGGCUAA